rnacentral:rRNA from 1 species
GUUAGGAAUAUUGGACAAUGGGCGCAAGCCUGAUCCAGCCAUGCCGCGUGAGUGAUGAAGGCCUUCGGGUUGUAAAGCUCUUUAGCCGAUGAUUAUAAUGACUGUAGUCGGAAAAUAAGCCCCGGCUAACUUCGUGCCAGCAGCCGCGGUAAUACGAAGGGGGCGAGUGUUAUUCGGAAUCACUGGGCGUAAAGCGUGCGUAGGCGGCUUUGCAAGUUGGGAGUGAAAGCCCAGGGCUCAACCCUGGAAUUGAUCUCAAAACUGCAAGGCUCGAAUUCGGGAGAGGAUAGCGGAAUUGUCAGUGUAGCAGUGAAAUGCGUAGAUAUUGACAGGAACACCAGUGGCGUAAGCGGCUAUCUGGACCGAUAUUGACGCUGAGGCACGAAAGCGUGGGGAUCAAACAGGAUUAGAUACCCCAGUAGUCC